GAUGAACGCUAGCUACAGGCUUAACACAUGCAAGUCGAGGGGCAGCAUGGUCUUAGCUUGCUAAGGCCGAUGGCGACCAGCGCACGGGUGAGUAACACGUAUCCAACCUGCCGUCUACUCUUGGACAGCCGUCUGAAAGGAAGAUUAAUACAAGAUGGCAUCAUGAGUCCGCAUGUUCACAUGAUUAAAGGUAUUCCUGUAGACGAGGAGGAUGCGUUCCAUUAGAUAGUAGGCGGGGUAACGGCCCACCUAGUCUUCGAUGGAUAGGGGUUCUGAGAGGAAGGUCCCCCCCAUUGGAACUGAGACACGGUCCAAACUCCUACGGGAGGCAGCAGUGAGGAAUAUUGGUCAAUGGGCGCAGGCCUGAACCAGCCAAGUAGCGUGAAGGAUGACUGCCCUAUGGGUUGUAACCUUCUUUUAUAAAGGAAUAAAGUCGGGUAUGUAUACCCGUUUGCAUGUACUUUAUGAAUAAGGAUCGGCUAACUCCGUG
rnacentral:rRNA from 1 species